rnacentral:rRNA from 1 species
UACGAAGGGGGCUAGCGUUGCUCGGAAUCACUGGGCGUAAAGCGCACGUAGGCGGAUUGUUAAGUCAGGGGUGAAAUCCUGGAGCUCAACUCCAGAACUGCCUUUGAUACUGAGGAUCUUGAGUUCGGGAGAGGUGAGUGGAACUGCGAGUGUAGAGGUGAAAUUCGUAGAUAUUCGCAAGAACACCAGUGGCGAAGGCGGCUCACUGGCCCGGUACUGACGCUGAG